CGGGUGUAGCUCAAUGGCAGAGCUCCAGCCUUCCAAGCUGGCAGCGUGGGUUCGAUUCCCAUCACCC
rnacentral:tRNA from 1 species